GAUGAACGCUAGCGGCGGGCUUAAUACAUGCAAGUCAAGGGGUAGCAAUACACCGGCGUACGGGUGCGUAACGCGUAUGGAACCUGCCCUUAUCUGGGGGAUAACUCGGGGAAACUCGAGCUAAUACCGCAUAAGAUAGUAGAAUGGCAUCAUUCAGCUAUUAAAGAUUUAUCGGAUAAGGAUGGCCAUGCGUAAGAUUAGAUAGUUGGUGGGGUAACGGCUCACCAAGUCUACGAUCUUUAGGGGCUCUGAGAGGAGAAUCCCCUACACUGGCACUGAGAUACGGGCCAGACUCCUACGGGAGGCAGCAGUAGGGAAUAUUGGGCAAUGGGCGGAAGCCUGACCCAGCCACGCCGCGUGCAGGAAGAAGGCCCUCUGGGUUGUAAACUGCUUUUGAUUGGGAAGAAAGCAUCUCAUGCGUGGGAUUUUGACGGUACCAAUCGAAUAAGCCACGGCUAACUACGUGCCAGCCGCCGCAGUAACAC
rnacentral:rRNA from 1 species